CGCGCAGGCGGCCAGGUCAGUCGAAUGUGAAAGCCCCCGGCUCAACUGGGGAAGGUCGUUCGAUACUGCCUGGCUCGAAGAUAGGAGAGGGAAGUGGAAUUUCAGGUGUAGUGGUGAAAUGCGUAGAUAUCUGAAGGAACACCAGUGGCGAAGGCGACUUUCUGGCCUAUUCUUGACGCUGAGGCGCGAAAGCUAGGGGAGCGAAC
rnacentral:rRNA from 1 species